rnacentral:rRNA from 1 species
UACGGAGGGGGCUAGCGUUGUUCGGAAUUACUGGGCGUAAAGCGCGCGUAGGCGGCUUUGUAAGUUAGAGGUGAAAGCCCAGGGCUCAACCCUGGAAUUGACUUUAAGACUGCAUCGCUUGAACAUCGGAGAGGUAAGUGGAAUUCCGAGUGUAGAGGUGAAAUUCGUAGAUAUUCGGAAGAACACCAGUGGCGAAGGCGACUUACUGGACGAUUGUUGACGCUGAGGUGCGAAAGCGUGGGGAGCAAACAGG